UUCUAUAGAGGUUUUUCCACUCUUGUUGAGAAGCUGAAAUUCAUCGUGCUUGGACUUGGUGUUUCUAAAGCUGGAGAGGAAGGGAAAAGUGACCCAACAAGCUCCUGCUCACUAGAAAGAGGGGAAGCACCACAGGAUCAUGGUGGGAAGGGAAGAGCACAGAUGGGGCUGACCCACACUGAGUCACCAGGACAUCUGUUCCUGCCUGGUCUGGGCACACAAUUUCCACAGUGCCAGAAAAGGUGAAACACGAAGCUUUCUACAAUCAAAAAGCAGUUCAUACCCUCUGUGGAGA